GCUUAUUUACCAAUUAUAAGACUUUUGAUAGUGAUGUAAUAGGAAUUUUUAUUUAAUGAGAUAACUUAUUUUUAAAUUUCACUCCUAUGAUACAGAGGCUAUGGUUUCCGUUGUGAGAUCGACAUGAAAUUGAGUGAAAUUGACAAUGAACUCCUUAAGAGGGUGGCAUUGGUCAAAGCAGUCACAACUUCAACCCAGAUUCAAGAGGACAAAGUAGACUUCUCAUAGAGGACUAGCAAGACCACAUGACUGAAGAGCUUGUGGAAGGGGAGGGACAUGGAUGAAUCUGGAGAAUGUCAUCCUCAGCAAACUGACACAAGAACAGAAAAUGAAACACCGCAUAUUCUCACUCAUAGCUGGAUACCAACUUCCAGGACAGUCCUGGGAACCACAUGUUGAAGAUGGCUGGACUUCUGCAAUGUGAUUUAUGAACGACUAUGUGGAAAGGAGCUGCCUUUUCUUCUCACUUUCUUUAGUCUACUGAUUGACUUUACAUGAGUAAGAGAUAAACUUACACUGUGUUAAGCCACUGAAAUUUUGGCAUUAAUGUGUUACAAAUAGAUUAUGUUACCUUAACUAAUACACUGGCAGAAUUGAGAUUUAAACUUUGUUAUUCUAAUUCUAAAAUCUGUCUUCCUAAAUAGCAUUUAUCAGAGUUAACAAGUGUUAUACUGAAUAAAGGUUUCCAUCGUGUAAGAAGUUCGGGAAACAGUCGAGCAAGUUUCCUGAUGUAAGUCUUCCUGGAGCCAUUCCAGUAUACAUUGUGAAUCUCUAAAAAGUGUCAUAUGCAGCUUUAAUAGCACUCUAUGACACUGGUUAUGCUUCAUACUUCCUUUAAAGACCUUGAGUCUUGUAAAAAUGUGUUAGUUUGUAUAGAGCCAUAUUCCUAAAGCUUACAAAUACAUUUGAAAUUAUACUUAUAAAUAAACCUCUCUAAUCUUUUUAUAAAAAUAAUUUUGACUUUUAUUUUAGAUUCAGGGGUAUAUAUGCAGGUUUGUUAUCUGGGUAUAUUGUGUGAUGUUUGGGAUACAAUUGAUCCUGUCACCCAGAUACUGAGCACAGUUUCCAAUAGUUAGUUUUUCAC